UAAUAGCCCCGAUUGUAGUGGAAAUCCUUUUUCUUUUCUUUCACAUAAGGAAAAGAAAAAGAUUGUAACGGAAAGCGGGAAAUAGC
rnacentral:sRNA from 1 species